GACGAACGCUGGCGGCGUGCUUAACACAUGCAAGUCGAACGGAAAGGCCCUGCUUUUGUGGGGUGCUCGAGUGGCGAACGGGGGAGUAACACGUGAGUAACCUGCCCUUGUCUUUGGGAUAACUUCAGGAAACUGGGGCUAAUACCGGAUAGGAGCUCCUGCUGCAUGGUGGGGGUUGGAAAGUUUCGGCGGUUGGGGAUGGACUCGCGGCUUAUCAGCUUGUUGGUGGGGUAGUGGCUUACCAAGGCUUUGACGGGUAGCCGGCCUGAGAGGGGGACCGGCGACAUUGGGACUGAGAGACGGACCAGACGCCUACGGGCGGCAGCAGUGGGAAGUAUGACGCAAUGGGGGGAAGCGUGUUGUAGAGACGCCGGGUGCGGGAAGACGGCCUUCGGGGGGUAAACAGCUGUCGACUGUGACGAAGCCUGAGUGACGGUAAUGGGUAAAGAAGCACCGGCUAACUACGUG
rnacentral:rRNA from 1 species